rnacentral:tRNA from 1 species
GAGGGUAUAGUUCAAUUGAUAGAGUGCCUGCUUAGCAUGCAUGAGGUCCUGGGUUCAAUCCCCAGUACCGUCA